rnacentral:rRNA from 1 species
AGAGUUUGAUCCUGGCUCAGGAUGAACGCUAGCGACAGGCUUAACACAUGCAAGUCGAGGGGCAGCAUGAUUUGUAGCAAUACAGAUUGAUGGCGACCGGCGCACGGGUGAGUAACGCGUAUGCAACUUACCUAUCAGAGGGGGAUAGCCCGGCGAAAGUCGGAUUAAUACCCCAUAAAACAGGGGUCCCGCAUGGGAAUAUUUGUUAAAGAUUCAUCGCUGAUAGAUAGGCAUGCGUUCCAUUAGGCAGUUGGCGGGGUAACGGCCCACCAAACCGACGAUGGAUAGGGGUUCUGAGAGGAAGGUCCCCCACAUUGGUACUGAGACACGGACCAAACUCCUACGGGAGGCAGCAGUGAGGAAUAUUGGUCAAUGGCCGAGAGGCUGAACCAGCCAAGUCGCGUGAAGGAAGAAGGAUCUAUGGUUUGUAAACUUCUUUUAUAGGGGAAUAAAGUGGAGGACGUGUCCUUUUUUGUAUGUACCCUAUGAAUAAGCAUCGGCUAACUCCGUGCCAGCAGCCGCGGUAAUACGGAGGAUGCGAGCGUUAUCCGGAUUUAUUGGGUUUAAAGGGUGCGUAGGCGGUUUAUUAAGUUAGUGGUUAAAUAUUUGAGCUAAACUCAAUUGUGCCAUUAAUACUGGUAAACUGGAGUACAGACGAGGUAGGCGGAAUAAGUUAAGUAGCGGUGAAAUGCAUAGAUAUAACUUAGAACUCCGAUAGCGAAGGCAGCUUACCAGACUGUAACUGACGCUGAUGCACGAGAGCGUGGGUAGCGAACAGGAUUAGAUACCCUGGUAGUCCACGCCGUAAACGAUGCUCACUGGUUCUGUGCGAUAUAUUGUACGGGAUUAAGCGAAAGUAUUAAGUGAGCCACCUGGGGAGUACGUCGGCAACGAUGAAACUCAAAGGAAUUGACGGGGGCCCGCACAAGCGGAGGAACAUGUG